CAGCAGCCGCGGUAAUACAGAGGGUGCAAGCGUUAAUCGGAAUUACUGGGCGUAAAGCGCGCGUAGGUGGUUCGCCAAGUUGGAUGUGAAAUCCCCGGGCUCAACCUGGGAACUGCAUCCAAAACUGGCGAGCUAGAGUAUGGUAGAGGGUGGUGGAAUUUCCUGUGUAGCGGUGAAAUGCGUAGAUAUAGGAAGGAACAUCAGUGGCGAAGGCGACCACCUGGACUGAUACUGACACUGAGGUGCGAAAGCGUGGGGAGCAAACAGGAUUAGAUACCCGCGUAGUCCCUGUCUCUUAUAA
rnacentral:rRNA from 1 species